AGAGCGAACGCUGGCGGCAGGCUUAACACAUGCAAGUCGAGCGGGCCCUUCGGGGUCAGCGGCAGACGGGUGAGUMACACGUGGGAACGUACCCUUUGGUUCGGAAUAACGUUGGGAAACUAGCGCUAAUACCGGAUACGCCCUUUUGGGGAAAGGCUUGCUGCCGAAGGAUCGGCCCGCGUCUGAUUAGCUAGUUGGUGGGGUAAUGGCCUACCAAGGCGACGAUCAGUAGCUGGUCUGAGAGGAUGAUCAGCCACACUGGGACUGAGACACGGCCCAGACUCCUACGGGAGGCAGCAGUGGGGAAUAUUGGACAAUGGGCGCAAGCCUGAUCCAGCCAUGCCGCGUGAGUGAUGAAGGCCUUAGGGUUGUAAAGCUCUUUUGUCCGGGACGAUAAUGACGGUACCGGAAGAAUAAGCCCCGGCUAACUUCGUGCCAGCAGCCGCGGUAAUACGAAGGGGGCUAGCGUUGCUCGGAAUCACUGGGCGUAAAGGGCGCGUAGGCGGCCAUUCAAGUCGGGGGUGAAAGCCUGUGGCUCAACCACAGAAUUGCCUUCGAUACUGUUWGGCUUGAGUUUGGUAGAGGUUGGUGGAACUGCGAGUGUAGAGGUGAAAUUCGUAGAUAUUCGCAAGAACACCAGUGGCGAAGGCGGCCAACUGGACCAACACUGACGCUGAGGCGCGAAAGCGUGGGGAGCAAACAGG
rnacentral:rRNA from 1 species